AGUGAACGCUGGCGGUAGGCCUGACACAUGCAAGUCGAACGGCAGCACAGUAAGAGCUUGCUCUUACGGGUGGCGAGUGGCGGACGGGUGAGGAAUACAUCGGAAUCUACUUUUUCGUGGGGGAUAACGUAGGGAAACUUACGCUAAUACCGCAUACGACCUACGGGUGAAAGCAGGGGAUCUUCGGACCUUGCGCGAUUGAAUGAGCCGAUGUCGGAUUAGCUAGUUGGCGGGGUAAAGGCCCACCAAGGCGACGAUCCGUAGCUGGUCUGAGAGGAUGAUCAGCCACACUGGAACUGAGACACGGUCCAGACUCCUACGGGAGGCAGCAGUGGGGAAUAUUGGACAAUGGGCGCAAGCCUGAUCCAGCCAUACCGCGUGGGUGAAGAAGGCCUUCGGGUUGUAAAGCCCUUUUGUUGGGAAAGAAAAGCAGCAGGCUAAUACCCCGCUGUUCUGACGGUACCCAAAGAAUAAGCACCGGCUAACUUCGUG
rnacentral:rRNA from 1 species